UACAGAGGAGCCAAGCGUUGUCCGGAUUGACUGGGCGUAAAGCGCACGCAGGCGGUUUGGCGCGUGGGGUGUGAAAUCUGGCCGCUUAACGGCCAGGCGCCAUCCCAUACGGCGAAACUGGAGUGAUGCAGAGGUCGAUGGAAUUGCCGGUGUAGUGGUGAAAUGCGUAGAGAUCGGCAGGAACACCCAGGGGGAAACCAGUCGACUGGGCAUCUACUGACGCUGAGGUGCGAGAGCGUGGGGAGCGAACAGG
rnacentral:rRNA from 1 species